UCCUGGUGGUAAGUCUCGCUCCUGGAGUUCCCAUCUUGACCCUACAGCGGGACAUUUUGCCGCCACCUCUUUGUGUGUUGGGAAGAUGACGUCCUUUCUGCUCGUCCUGCUUCUCUGAUUGGGACAGUCUGGUUUGAAAGGGAGGAGGAGAAAUAAGAGAAAGCUCCGUGGUAAUAUACAAGACGAAAGGAAAAGAAAGACAAGUAAAAGGAAUGAUCUGCAACCACCUGGAUAUUGGAGCACAAUUGUGAGAACAACUGGAUCUGUGUCUCUGGAGAUCCCUUUGCUCAGCCAUCAGAUCAAGCAGGCAUCCAUGGUUCAGAAUGGUGAUGACCUGGGCAAGAGCUCACCAGUAAGGAGCAAAGGGGCCCGCCUGCCACUCUUAAGCAGAGCGCCUGCUGAAUCAGGAUUUCCAAGGCUCCGGCUGAGUGCCUGGCUGGGGGCUGUGUGUGCAGAUGCCACAAGAUGGACAAGACUGAGGACGCAGAUUUCCUACAACAGCAGACUUCUGAUGCCCAGGCCUCAGUUCUGAACUCUGGAGGCUACAACCUGGCCUGCUUAUAGACGGUGGACCAAAUGAAGGUGAAGAGGAGACGGAUGAGGAAACUGAAGCAACUGUUCAAGAAGAGGAUAUAAAAAGGGACAGGCAUUGAUGAUGAUAUCAGAGCUUCUUCCUGGGGAAUCUCAGCCUCACAUGAUGGAGUAUGACUAAAGGAAAAAAAUAAGGCUCUUCACAUACUUUCUUGGCAGUCUGUGAGGGUCAGGGUUGAUUUUGUGUCCCUAAAAUGUCACAUGAAGUUCAUAGGCACUUCCAAAGGGGCAGUCUAGCAAGUUAAAGAGUAGAUGUGGGGCUGUGUGGAGUCCAUUGUU
rnacentral:lncRNA from 1 species